UCCAAGUGAGGGUGGCCCAAUUAGGAGAGAGAAGCUCUCGUUUGUUUCCACUGUGAGAAAGAAAGCCAUCUGUUUGAGUUUGUCGCCGGGGGAGGGUGGCUUCACGCCUCCCUCCUCCUGGUAAGUGCUUUUCUCCUAGCCUUUUAGGUUAUGGAGUGAUUUUUGCUCCUCCAUAGUGUGUACCAGUGAAGGCAUGAAGCUUCAAAUCAAGCCGACCAGGUGGGGGAGAGACUGCUCUGUGCAGUGUCAUCGACGGUGGUUCUCUGGCCGGACCUUCACUUUUCUAAUUUUUUGAAGACAGAUCUACGCAUCCUCGUCGAUUUCUGGUAGACACGUGCCGCCCUGCAGCGUUGUUCGUCGUUCUCUGCUCCAGCCGCCGAAAGGUGUGGUCGUGCCGAUCGUCGGAGCAUGGCGCGUGGCUUUCACGCACCAGGAAGCUUUGCUCCCUGGGCCGCGCAUGUGAGUCACGUUCCAAUUUUUCAGGCCAUGUUCGGUGGUUUCUGGGGUUUAGGACGACCGAUCUGCUGUUUGGGGGUUGUCAGUGGCGGCGUGUGUCCCACACGCGCCGUCGUCUGACGAGGACUGCCUCUGCCUCUCUGCUUCCGAUUUGGUUUGGGUGUUUCUGUCUGUUGUGUGUUUAUUCCCUUUGUGUCUCCGGUACAGUCUGCCAUUGUAAUACCCUUGUUUUUAUGAAAAUAUUUGAUGGCUUCUUGCUAGAUCGGCUCCCUUUUAUUUUUGAGAGUGAGCGUUAUUGUAAAAGGAGGCUCAAAUGUUUAUUCUUGUAAGAUUUGUGUUCUGCAUUGACAGCUGUUUUUAAGUCAGAUCCUUCUGACUUAGGGUUCAA